rnacentral:lncRNA from 1 species
GGUAUGUCGCAAGGUUUGGGACACACUGAUCAUGCCCCUGCCACCCCACUCCCGUAUGUUACUAUUAUACCUUUCAGUAUGAUAGGUUAUUUUUACCCAGGCUUUAUAUUAGAGUCAUGGGGGUGACAUCAGCAAAAUAUUGCUUGGGGCUCUACACCCGUUGGUAAAUCAGCACCUCUGUAUCCCAGCUCCAUGGACGUCGGGUGGUAGUCCAUGGCUGAAGCGGAGUUGAGUGGUUUUCAACCCAGUUUCCAGGUGGUUUCUCCAGUGUUUAGAAAUCUGGCGAGAGACACUCCUCUGUGGAUCUUUUACAUCUCUGCACAUCCAUACUGUCUUUUCAAGGAUGUUAGAGCAAUAAACAGCGCUGGAAGCUGGAGAUAAUGUUUCCCUCUGGAGUGAAGGGUAGAUUUAUUUACUGUCCAGUAUAAUAAAAAUAAUGUCUGUUUCUGAAGCAAAGGAUGGUUGGGUUCACUGCCCUUUACAAAAGUUCAGGGUCUCUGGGCUUCAGCUCUGACAUGUGACGAGCUCUGAAACCCGCCUCUCCUGCUUUAUCAACAAGCAAAAAGCUGAAUAAACUGAAAAGCAAUGACUUUUCUUGGACUUCCCAGAGAAUUGAGGUCAGAGGGCAAACUGAUGUCCUGCAAUCUGGAGAGACAGCCCUUUCAGAGUCACAGAUGUGAUCUACUGACCCAGAGCAGAAGCCGUGCUGGAUAGGGAGACUUGAAUUCUACAGUGACUUGGAUGUGGUGUCUGGAGGAUGAGUGUGGACUUGCAUGAGUAUGUGAGACCCCCAGGAACACGCCAUCUCAAUCUUCCUUCUUGUGCGUUUUGUUUUGUUUUGUUUUGUUUUGUUUUGUUUUGUUUUGUUUUGUGGGUCUUCUCUCUAGAAACUCACUAGGGUCUCCUGGAAACGAACCAACAAACCUUUCCUGUUGUCUGAGACAGGAAGAGAAAGUCAACAGUUGUGAGCAUGGCCAGCGUGCUCUCCACAGCCAAGCCUCACUCUGUAAAGGAGAGAAUGCUGAAUGUUCCAACAUACAGAACUGAUGUGUGAGGCUGAUGUGAGAGAUGGCUCAGUGGUUAAGGGCCUUGGCUGCUCUUCCAGAGGCCCUGGAUUCGAUUCCCAGUACCCACAUGGUGGCUCUCAACUGUCUGUAACUCCAUUUCUAAGGGAUCCAUGGCCUCUUUUGGCCUCCACAGGCACCAAGUGGUACAUGGAUGUACAUGCAGGCUCAUACACAUU